CAUAAGUGUCUUGCACUGGUGAAUCACUGUUUUAGUGUUGCUUUCACCAUAUAUCACAUCCAUAAUUUGCCUACUGAAGAUGUUAGGGAAAUGUGCCCGAACAGCAUGUGCUUUUUCAAGCAAGUAAUGAGCACAUGAGAGAAUUUCAUUUAUUACAGCUCUUAGGUGACCUAGCAAUGGAGGAAGGAAUGAGUCAGUCAUUUAUUAGUAAGAGGCUUCUCAGAGUCUAAAAUAAAGCCAGAAAUCCUACAAGUAAAUUAAGUGAAGGAAAGCCUAAUUACACUAUAAAAAAAACCAAACAAACAAAAAAAAAAAACCCACUAAAAAUUCUACUAAUGUAACUUCUUAAAAGUAACUGUUCCCAAUGACAGAUGCUAGACACAGCAUUUACAAGCUUGAUUUCUUAAGUUAAUGAGCCCUUUAACCUUUGUGGUAUGAUUUCACAUUGGUUUGUUUGAGUCUGGGAAGCAGUUCAGUGCAUGGGGCUUCUUAUGUUGCCAUCCAGUCUUUGCAUGGUGUGUGUAUUUCUUGCAGCAGCUGCAAUAGUUUAAAGCUCCCAUUAGCUGCACUGUUAGUAGCUGCACUCAACUUGUGCAGGGUGAUUAAUUGCUUUGAGGUGAUCACUGAGUUCUUAGUGGUCCCCCAUUGUCAUUGAAGUUGUAAUGUUCGUAGCAGCAAAGGACACCUGCUUUGAUCAGUAAUCUACUGCAGACUGUAGUUGGAACGAGGAAGAAUUCUGGGGAGAUGGAUGAAUAGGAAAGUCUGAAAUGCAAACGUUAGUAUGUUUUAGUAUUAGUUUUCAGGGGAACACUAUUGUAUUUUGAAUCCAAAAUCUGAUGCCUCCUUAAAUUAUUGUAGCUUAAUGGUAUGGACACCAGGAAGACUUGACAACAAAAAAAAUAAUUUAAAAAUAGUAUUCUGCAAACUUGAGGUGUUUAAAUUAUGUUUUAUCAACUUGCCAGCUUAGUGUUAUUGCUCAUGCAGUUUACCUUGGGUGUUUCCUUAAAAACUGUCUUCCAAUUAGGUAAUCGCUAAUUUCUAUUGCAAUUCUGUCCCUAUCUCUAAGUAUGAUAUAGCUGAAACAAGCAAAUUCUUGCUGACUAAUGCUGACGGUGUGACCUUAAAAAUUCAGUAAGAUUUUUAUUUACACGUUCUCUCCACGGCACCGUAAAAUUGAAUUCUGGAAACACAUAGAAUAUAGUGCUGUGAAGGAGACUGCAUGUCUUUGCAGUAGUAAGACUUAGUGUUACACGUGUUCUGUGCUAUUGCAAAUCACUUGCCCAUUGCCCUUAGUGAAAAUAAGGUGGUGUGGUGUUCUCCUUUAUUUCUGUUUUGCAGUGGUAAAACAUAGCAGUAAUAUCUUGCUCACAACUGUCAACAGGUCUGCUUCAUGAACCUUUAUACAGUUGUUUUCAUUUUAUGUGGUAAUGACUACUCUGGAAAUACUCUACAAGACCGUAGAUUUUUCAAAGCUGCUUUUAAUGAACUGUAGGACUUGGUUCUUUGCUUUCAGCAGCAGCCAGCCCCAGAUGAGCUUUCCCAGCUCACUCCAUGUCCCUAUUUGAUCACUCUGCCUAGACUGUUACUGCUUAUGAUUUGUCUGUUUUGAGGCCCUCACUUAAUAGGGCCCAACCCACAGCAGCUCAGCUGAGUUCAGUCUAAUGAAUUAGCUAUUAUCUAGUGCAGCAGAUCUCACAGUAAUAAGUCAAGGGGAAAAAAAUAGAAAUUCAUGUUGCCUGCUUUGAACUCUACUUCGGCUAAAAUUGUGCAUGUAAUUUUAUAUCUACAUACAUACGAGUAUGAAAUGUACCAGGACUGCUCUGGAAGUCACACCUCCUAUUGUAUGACUUCAGUCCACAGCAUCAGAGGCAAUAGCAUUGUGAAGCACGUCACAUUCUAGAUGGCUGUGCACAGCUGUCACGCCACAAACUGAAGUGCAUCUCUACCAGCUCAUCUGCAUGAACUGACAGUUUGUGACCAGGGAGUUGAAUAUUGGCUUCAGUGUACUGGGAUCAAUGGUGACAACAUUGCAAUAUCUCAAAGUUUUCACCAGGGAAGUUCUCUGUGGAGCUACUUGGAGGGUGAGAUCAAUGCCCAAAUGCAAGGAGUUGCCACUGGCAGAGCGCAUGGGAGAUCAAACUGGAGAGUGAAUCAGCAAAAGGAGGCUGCAGCAUGCAAGCCUUACCGUGUGAGUUGGUGGUGCUGGGAGCUUACACAAGAGCUCAGCUUUUAGGACCCUGGGAGCAAUGCAGCUGCCACCCUGCUCUGCUCCCUUCCUUCCCAUUCUCCUUCAAGCACAGAGUUGUGUGAACAGGGAAAUCACUCAUAACUAGCUAACAAUCUGCAGAAUGUGUUCUGGUACAAGGCACUUGAUCCUCCCAAGGUAAAGAAGUGUGCUGGAAAUUGAAUUCUGUUUUAUUAUUCAAAUCCCUAAGUAUUGAUGCAAACACAUUAACUUAAUUUACAAGCAAAAAGAAUAGUUUUGCCACAUAACAGUGGUGCAAUAAAAUAUCCACAUCUUCUAGGAGGGUCCUCUGGGAGCAUCUAUUUAACUCUUUUUAUCAAAGCAUCCUGCUUUCUCUGUUGUUGGCUUUUGCUUAACUACUUCUCUUUCAAAAUGGGCAGAAGAUGGCCUCUUAUUGGUUCUAAGCAGUCUUGGAGGAAGAUUGUAUAAAACAAAAUAC